CCUUAGAUGUUCUGGGCCGCACGCGCGUUACACUGACGGAGCCAGCGAGUUCUCCCUUGGCCGGAAGGCCCGGGUAAUCUUGUUAAACUCCGUCGUGCUGGGGAUAGAGCAUUGCAAUUAUUGCUCUUCAACGAGGAAUCCCUAGUAAGCGCAAGUCAUCAGCUUGCGUUGAUUACGUCCCUGCCCUUUGUACACACCGCCCGUCGCUACUACCGAUUGAAUGGCUCAGUGAGGCUUUCGGACUGGCCCAGAGAGGCGGGCAACCGCCACUCAGGGCCGGAAAGUUAUCCAAACUCGGUCAUUUAGAGGAAGUAAAAGUCGUAACAAGGUCUCCGUUGGUGAACCAGCGGAGGGAUCAUUACUGA
rnacentral:rRNA from 2 species